UUCACCUAGGAGAAUUCCUGGCACAUGGGAGGGGCUCCAUAAAUACCUGCCGAGUAAAUGAAUGAAUAGUAGGUGCUCAGUAUGGUUUUCCAAAAUCAGUGAUUGAGCAGACACUGUAUGUUAGGCAGUUGCACAUGUUACUGCAUUUAAUUCUCAUGCUCAGCUUUGAAGGGAAGAACUAUCUGUCUUUUACAGAUCGGAUGAGAGAAGAGAAGUGACUUCCCCAUGGUCACAUGUCUAGUUGGCAAUGGAAGUGGGAUUCAAGUCCAGUUCCACCUGACUUCAAAGCUUAUUCCUGUUUGACUUCACCCUGCUGCCUCUAAGAUAAAGGGGAGAUCAGGAGAGCAGAAUGGUUGCUUCCCCAGAGGAACAUGUGGUCUCAUUUUCUGCUUAGGGAUAGCUCACAGGAUUCAUGAAGUGGUCACCAGAGGAUAAGGACCAACCAGGUUAACGUGAAGAAAACACCCAGCUGCAGCUGUUUAAUGAGCAACUCGAAGCUGUGGAUAAGAGCAAUCACUGCACCCAGCCACCUCUAUAUACAUGUACACAAAGCCACACAGUUUACACAGUCACAGGUAUUUAAGUACACACUAUUCACACACAAAUACAUAUAUAGACACACAUGUACAGUCCGUCCAAAAUAUAUGUACAUAAAAGCACACUAUUACACCUUCAUAUGUGCACACACACACACACCCAGACUCACUUCAUACACACAUAGAUACAACAGCCACAGCUCCCCAUCACCUACACACACACACACACACCUGGACACCCAGCUCUAAUAUAAUCAGAUAGAGAUAUGCAUGCAGACAAAUUUGCCUGUAUAGUCAAACACAUAGGCAAAUAGAGAACGAGACACCACAUGAACAAAGGCAAACCUACACACAAAGACACAGAGCACACUUACGCAUAUAUCUAUAGACCCACCAUGGCACAUAUGGGUAAGUGCACACAGGCAAACUCACACACACGAGCAUGCACAGGCAGAGAACACAAAUGUACACUCCCAGGUGUCAUAAAGAACAGCCCAGCUUCGGCUUGGGAACGUCACAUCAGACAAUAGGAACGGCUGCACCGCGCGUUUCCUCGGCUGCCAGCUUCCCAGCCACAGAGGAUGCCUCACCUGCUAUGUCAGCUCCCCUCUGCCCCACCUCACAAGAAGCUCAGAAGCUGAGGAGUCACAGAGAGACCUCCCUACUGUGUCAGAGGAAUAGGUCCUUCUGUCACGGGGCACAGGACCCUUGACCGCAAAAUGACGUGAGUUACCACUGACUAUUUUCUGGGUCUUGAUCUUGUGACUCCAAAUGGAUGGUAAGCUCCUUAAGGGAAAGUCUAUGAUAUUCAUCCAACCACCCAUCCAUCCUUUCAUCCACCCAACCAUCCAUCCAUCUGACCAUCAUCCAUCCAUCCAUCCAUCCAUCUAUCCAUCUUCUAUCCAUCUGUCUACUCACCCAUCCACCCAUCCAUUCAAUUAUUCAUCCAUCCCUCUUCCAUCCAUUCACCCAUCUUCCAUCCAUCUGUCCACCCAUCCAUUCCACCAUUUAUCCAUCCAACCACCAUCUAUUCAUCCAACCACUCGUCUAUUCAUCCCUCUGACCAUCCAACCAUCCAUCGAUUUGUUCAAUUAUUUUAUCAAGCAUCUACACUGCACCACACACCCUAAUGGGUGUUGGGGAGAAAAUGGAGAGUAAAAUCAGAUGGGACCUCUGACCUCAGUGCGGCUGACCAUCAGUCCGGUAGAGGAGACACGUAAACUGACAAUUAUAAAUAAACACAAUGUGUCAACUCUGACAAGUGCUGUGAGGGAGAAAUCAGCAGUACUGAGAAAGCCUUUAUGGUCCUGGUGUGAGAGGUGGGAUGAGCCCAACACAGCAACAACAGCAAGACCAUGGGGGAGUGUGGUGCAGAUGGGCAGGUGUACAGAGCAUGCAGGCCAUGUCUGCCAGCCCUCUCUUUGUGCAUUAGCAACAGUAAAACGGGGCUUGUGUUUGGGCAGAUUAUACCACUGGUCUUGCAUCCCAAAUGUCUCUUUGUUCACUCGUUUAUACAAACAUGCUCAAUAAUAUUUAUGCAUUUUUACUGUGACAUCAUUUUCUUAUAUAAUAAAAGUGCCUAUUUAUAUACCGUAUAUGUAUAUAUAUAAUACACAGAUGCACACACACAAGCACACAUGCACAGAGCUUCUUGACAGUCAGUCCCUCAUAAGGUAGUCCACUGAAGUGCAGUCAUCACCAUCCUCAGACCUCAUGAUUAUAUAACUAGAGCACCUUAUAUUUUUAUAUUUUAUUAUGUAUUUAAUAAUCACAUAACUCUUUAGUGAAUGCCAAUUAAUUAGGAGAAUGACAUGCCUUCUCUCUGCUCCUCAUAAUAUCCCCCUUAGAUAGGUUUUAUCUCCCCACUUACAAGAUGUGGAGACUGGGCCGGGCACGGUGACUCACGCCUGUAAUCCCAGCACUUUGGGAGGAUGAGGCGGGUGGAUCACAUGAGAUCAGGAGUUUGAGACCAUCCUGGCCAACAUGACAAAACCGUCUCCUCUAAAAAUACCAAAAUUAGCUGGGACUGGUGGCACGUUCCUUUAAUCCCAGCUACUCGGGAGGUUGAGGCAGGAGAAUUGCUUGAACCCAGGAGGCAGAGGUUGUAGUGAGCCAAGAUCGUGCCACUGCACUCCAGCCUUGGUGACAGAGCAAGACUCUGUCUCAAAAAACAAACAAACACACAAAAACAAAAAAACAGAAAAAAACAGACUUGGAGACUGAGGCUCUGAGAUGUGAAGUCACUUGCAGACAGGUCAGACAGCCAGGUCAGGUCAGACAGCCAGAAGCUGGGGAAGGCAGCGCUGGAGCUAGGUCUGUGUGACACCUCCUCCAUCUAUCCUGCCCCCUCUCUAGCAUUUUAGGACCCAAAGGGACCUAAGAGAGUGCUCAGACAGCUGGCUGCGUUAGGAGCUACCUGUGGCUGCUGAAGAAGAGUUUGCGUCAAUUUAAAGAAAGAGCCAUUCAAGGAAUGAGGACCAUGACCUUGGCUGCACUGACCAGCUGGGCUCUGGAGACUCAGUGAGGCUGCCCAGCCACCAACAGGCCCUGCACAAUAGAUCCACGGACCCAGCAGUCAGAGGUGACCCUAGGGGUCACUGGCCCGUGGCUAAGGAGGAGGAGCACAGACCUGCGACCCCCUUUUCCCAUGGACCACCCAGGGAGGCUGAGCGGGGACUCUGAGCUCAGAUGGACAACCUCAGAGCCACUGGGAAUUUGCCUGAGGCCACUGGGGCCAGGGUUAAAUCCAUAUGAAGCAGCGCGGGCUGUGCACCUGCCAUUUUCUAGGCUCUGUCACAUGCAUCUUUCUGCCAAAUCUCAUGGUGAUCCUUCAAGAAUAGUACUAUUAAUCUCCCCAUUGACAGAGGGAGAAAGGGAGGCUCAGAGACGUUAAGUGUCUCACCAAAGCUCACACAGCUUCCAAGCAAUAGAACUUUACUCAGUACUCAGUACAGGUUAACAUUUAUUCAUUCACUCGAUAACCAUUUGCAGCACAGCUACCAUAUGCCAGGCAGUGUUCUAGGCACUUAGAAUACAUAGAUGAGCAAAACAGGCAAAACCUUUCCCUCAGGGCGUUACCAUUUGAGUGCCACCAUGCCACGGCUGGUACAGUUGCUAUUGAGACAAACAAAAUAAGACCCAGUUUUUGCCUUUGGGGAGUAGGUAGUCUAGUGGAGGAGGCACAUACACAGAAAAUUCCAAAGUACUGUGGAAAUCUCAGGGUACUUUGAUAGGGAUUACCAGAGGAGCUGUGAGAAUAAAGGCUGGAUAUCAGGGAAGGCUUCCUGGAAGAGGUGUUGCCUGAAAUGAGCCUGGAAGGAUCACUUAGGGACAGAAAAGUCAUUCCGUGUAGAAUUCAUGGUGAGUGACAGAGCCUAAACCCAGUCUCUUUUGCAUGCUGAGCACUGAGACCCAGACGCUGGUGCUCAGACCUGAUGACUUAUUUUCCCAGGUACAGCUUGAGCAAAGACACAGAAGCAGAAGGCAGGUUUUUGGUUCCAUGAACUCUACAUCUGGCUACAUACAAAUGGUGAAGAGGAACAGGGAGAAACAUGGUUGAAAAGAACAGGCUUGGACUUCAGGAAGCAGUAAAAUGAGCGAAUGCCAUUUAUGGUUACAAAGAUAACUCAGCUGGGGGCCAAACAGAGACUGAAAUGGAGUGGGUGAGGAUGGAGGCCGGGAGGAGAUGGCUGCAGAGGUCCCAGCAAUGACAGUGGUUGUGGGAAGGGGCAACCCCAAGUCUUGUGCUCCCAACUGCAAAUCCAGUGCUUUUUCUAAAAAAAUAUUUAAAUAAUUUAUUUAUUUUUGAGAUGGAGUCUCGCUCUGUCACCCAGGCUGGAGUGCAGUGACACAAUGUCGGCUCGUGCAACCUCUGCCCCCCGGGUUCAAGCGAUUCUCCUGCCUCAGCCUCCCAAGUAGCUGGGAUUACAGACGCACGCCUCCACGCCUGGCUAAUUUUUUAUAUUUUUGGUAGAGAUGGGGUUUCACCAUGUUGCCCAGGCUGGUCUCGAACUCCUGACUUCAAGUGAUCCACCCACCUCGGCCUCCCAAAGUACUAGGAUGACAGGCGUGAGCCACUGUGCCCAGCCUUAUUUUUUUUUUUAAUUUAUAUUUUCAGAGGCAAACGAUCCUUGCUCAUUAAAAAAAGGAAAUAGAAAUUCAAAACAAAAAUGCCUGUAUCUGAUGGGAAAGAUGAGCCCAAUGUUCUUUUUUAAAAAACCUUUAUUAUGAAAUAUUUCAACUGAACAUAUGCAGUUUAUAUUGUUAUAAAGCAUAACAAGCAAUCAAACAGCUGUGAACCCACCACUCCAUGUCAGAACUAGAACUUCCCAAAGCAGUCGGAGCUGAGGUGAGAUCCACUCUGAUGCCCUUCCCCAACUCCACGCCACCCCCCAAGACCUGACCACCUGAUUACUCUGGGAUUUCAUUUUUGUCUCGUUCCCUUGCUUUGCUUUAUGUCUUUACCAAAUGUGAAUGUGUGCCUAAACAAUACAGUGCUCGAUUUGCUUGUGUUUAAGCUUUAUUACAAAUAUAACUUUGAUCCUUCUGCUACUUGCAAUUCUAAAUUUGAUAUUACGAGUCUCAGCCUCAUCGGCGUUGAUGCGUGUGACCGACAUUGAUUCACUCUCACCAGUACGUGGUGUGUUCCGUUGCAUGCAUGCACCCCUGCUGGGGUAUCCAUUCUCCUGUUGGUGGACCUUUGGGUGGUAUUAGUUGCUGGUCAUCUCCAUGGUGCUGUCCUCUUGCAGGUCUCCAGGACACAUGUGCAUGAGUUCCUCUAGGAAACCACGGUGUACAACUGCUGGGUUGCAGGCCCAGGGUUCUUUCCACUUCUCUAUCCUCCCAAGUAGGGUCCAGCUGGCCUUAGUGCUGCCAUGCUGAGAGCUCUGGGAGGGGCAACCCAGGGCAGACAGGCCCAGGCCAGCCACCCUGCCCCAGGCAUUUCCCAGGACUCAUCAGGCACCCAGCGGCCCCUCAGCAGUGAGCAAUACCAGAAAUCUGCCAGCUGGCUACUAACUGGGUCACAAGAGAGUACUGCUGUCUCACUCAGGGUGCGUUCCAUUUCCUUCAGCACUUGCGCCAAGUAAGGCUGUGUUCACAGGCCACAAGACCCAAGGGAGAUGGAAAUCAGCUCACAGAUGCUGAGCUGACUGCACACCAGGCAGUGUGCAAAGCACCUUACACAUAUAACUCACUUAAUCCUCAUCCCUGACUGCACGAGGUGGGCACUAUUAUUAACCCCACUUUACAGAUAAGAAACUGAGGCGCAGGAAGUUGAAAAUUUUGCCCAGACCAACACGUACAACUUCAAAUCCAGACAGCCUGGCCGCUCUGCUCCUACUACUCUGCUACCCCAUCUCUCAAGAGGGGAAAAGGACUAGCUCCUUGCCCAAUCCUGAGGUUGUCAGCAUUC
rnacentral:lncRNA from 1 species